ACGAACGCUGGCGGCGUGCUUCACACCUGCAAGUCGAACGGAAAGGCCCUGCUUUUGUGGGGUGCUCGAGUGGCGAACGGGUGAGUAACACGUGAGUAACCUGCCCUUGACUUUGGGAUAACUUCAGGAAACUGGGGCUAAUACCGGAUAGGAGCUCCUGCUGCAUGGUGGGGGUUGGAAAGUUUCGGCGGUUGGGGAUGGACUCGCGGCUUAUCAGCUUGUUGGUGGGGUAGUGGCUUACCAAGGCCUUGACGGGUAGCCGGCCUGAGAGGGUGACCGGCCACAUUGGGACUGAGAUACGGCCCAGACUCCUACGGGAGGCAGCAGUGGGGAAUAUUGCACAAUGGGCGGAAGCCUGAUGCAGCAACGCCGCGUGCGGGAUGACGGCCUUCGGGUUGUAAACCGCUUUCGCCUGUGACGAAGCGUGAGUGACGGUAAUGGGUAAAGAAGCACCGGCUAACUACGUG
rnacentral:rRNA from 1 species